rnacentral:rRNA from 1 species
GUGGAUUCUCAAGCGUGAGGUAAGAGCAUUUGGUGGAUGCCUUGGCAUGUACAGGCGAUGAAGGACGUGGCACGCUGCGAUAAGCGUCGGGGAGUUGUGAGCAAACUUUGAUCCGGCGAUUUCCGGAGGAAAAGACAUCAACCGAGAUUCCGUUAGUAGUGGCGAGCGAACGCGGACCAGGCCAGUGCCUCAUCUUCAACUAGCAGAACACUUUGGAAAGAGUGGCCAUAGCGGGUGACAGCCCCGUAUGCGAAAGUGAUGGAUGAGGACUCGAGUAGGGCGGGACACGUGAAAUCCUGUCUGAACAUGGGGGGACCACCCUCCAAGCCUAAAUACUCGUACAUGACCGAUAGCGAACAAGUACCGUGAGGGAAAGGUGAAAAGCACCCCGAUGAGGGGAGUGAAACAGUACCUGAAACCGAAUGCUUACAAGCAGUUGGAGCCUCUUUAGGGGGUGACAGCGUACCUCUUGCAUAAUGGGUCAGUGACUUAAUGUAUCAUGCGAGCUUAAGCCGUUAGGUGUAGGCGCAGCGAAAGCGAGUCUGAAUAGGGCGACUGAGUAUGAUGUAUUAGACCCGAAACCCGGCGAUCUAGGCAUGACCAGGUUGAAGGUGCGGUAACACGCACUGGAGGACCGAACCGUUGAAUGUUGAAAAAUUCUCGGAUGAGUUGUGUUUAGGGGUGAAAGGCCAAUCAAGCCGGGAAAUAGCUGGUUCUCCGCGAAAUCUAUUGAGGUAGAGCG